AUAAAGUUUGAUCUUGGCUUAAAUAAAUGAAUAUUUAUUAGUUUUAUAAUUUAAAAUAUAUGUAAAUUUUUUUUUAAUAAUUUAAUAAAAAACAGUAUUUAAUUUUAAUAAUUAAAGUAAUUUAGAAUUAUUAAUUAUAUUGAAAUAUAGGCAAAUAUUGUGCCAGCAGCUGCGGUUAUACAAUUUAUAUAAAUUAAUAUUAUAAAUUUAUAAAUUAUAAAUUAAAAUUUAAUUAUUAAUUAAAAUUUAAAAAUUUAGGUGAAAUUUAUUUUUAUUUUAAUUUAAUUUUAUAAUAUAUUAUUUUAUUAAAUCUAAUUAAUAAACUAGGAUUAGAUACCCUAUUAUUUUAGAUGUAAAUUAUUAUUUUGAUGAUUAAUAGUUAUGUUCUUUAAAAUUAAAAGAAUUGGCGGUAUUUAAAACUAAUUAGGGGAAUUUGUUUUUUGAACGAUAUUUCACGAGGUAUCUUACUUUAAUUUAUUUAAUUUAUUUAUUUUCGUUAACAGGAUAUUUUUUUAGAAUUUAUAAAUUUUCUAAAAUUUUUAUUAAAAUUUAUUUCAGAUCAAGAUGUAGUUUAUAUUAAAGUUAAAAUGAAUUACAAUAAAAUUUUAUUUAAUGGAAAUUAAUUUGAAAUAAUUAUUUGAAAUUGGACUUAAUAGUAAAUUUAAAAAUUAAAUUAAUUUGAAUUUAGAAUUAAAUAUGUACAAAUCGCCCGUCACUUUCAUUUCAUAUGGAAUAAGUCGUAACAAAGUAAAUAUACUGGAAAGUGUAUUUAGAAUU
rnacentral:ncRNA from 1 species